rnacentral:misc_RNA from 1 species
AACUUUCAACAACGGAUCACUGGGCUCUCGCAUCGAUGAAGAACGCAGCGAAAUGCGACAAGUAAUGUGAAUUGCAGAAUUCAGUGAAUCAUCGAAUCUUUGAACGCAUCUUGCGCUCCUUGGUAUUCCGAGGAGCAUGCCUGUUUGAGUGUCAUUUGUCCUUCUCAACCACAUCGUUCUUGUUUUGACUGUGUGUGGCUUGGAUGUGGGGGGAGUAAUUUUAUUUUUUGCAGGCUUCAAAUCAAGAAGCCAGCUCCCCUGAAGUGAAUUAGUGGUGUCUGAGCUGCUAUUGGUGUGAUAAAUUAUCUAUGCCUUUGGUGAUGCUGGUCAGCACCGCUUAUAACGGACGGUGAUCAUUUGACAAAUUUGACCUCAAAUCAGGUAGGACUACCCGCUGAACUUAAGCAUAUCAAUAAGCGGAGGCU